rnacentral:rRNA from 1 species
GAUGAACGCUGGCGGCGUGCCUAAUACAUGCAAGUCGAGCGAACGGACGAGAAGCUUGCUUCUCUGAUGUUAGCGGCGGACGGGUGAGUAACACGUGGAUAACCUACCUAUAAGACUGGGAUAACUUCGGGAAACCGGAGCUAAUACCGGAUGAUAUUUUGAACCGCAUGGUUCAAAAGUGAAAGACGGUCUUGCUGUCACUUAUAGAUGGAUCCGCGCUGCAUUAGCUAGUUGGUAAGGUAACGGCUUACCAAGGCAACGAUGCAUAGCCGACCUGAGAGGGUGAUCGGCCAAACCGGAACUGAGACACGGUCCAGACUCCUAAGGGAGGCAGCAGUAGGGAAUCUUCCGCAAUGGGCGAAAGCCUGACGGAGCAACGCCGCGUGAGUGAUGAAGGUCUUCGGAUCGUAAAACUCUGUUAUUAGGGAAGAACAUAUGUGUAAGUAACUGUGCACAUCUUGACGGUACCUAAUCAGAAAGCCACGGCUAACUACGUG